GCCAGUGUGGUGUAGUGGUUUUGAUUCUUGGUCUAGGUCUCCAGGAGACUAGGGUUCAAAUCCCCACUCAGACA